UACAGAGGGGGCAAGCGUUGUUCGGAAUUACUGGGCGUAAAGGGCGCGUAGGCGGCCUGUUAAGUCGAACGUGAAAUCCCCGGGCUCAACCCGGGAACUGCGUCCGAUACUGGCAGGCUUGAAUCCGGGAGAGGGAUGCGGAAUUCCAGGUGUAGCGGUGAAAUGCGUAGAUAUCUGGAGGAACACCGAGGGCGAAGGCAGUUCUGUGGGCCGUAACUGAAGCUGAGGAGCGAAAGAGUGGGGAGCGAACAGG
rnacentral:rRNA from 1 species